GAAAGUUUGGUCACCUGCGUGGAUCAGUGGGAUUAGAGACAUCAAAGCAAGUAAAAAUAAGAAAGACAAGCAGAGAAACAACAAACAAAAAGAACUCCAUCACUGAAACUGAAGUCCAGGCUAUGGGUUGUGGAGGCAGUCACACUGUAGCAUGAGUCAAAGCAUUACCACAAGUAACUCCAGAAGUAGAUUGUAAUAUUUUA
rnacentral:lncRNA from 1 species